ensembl:lncRNA
CUUACUGAUCCAGAAUUUUUCCCUAAUGGUAGUGUAUGAUUUGUGUCGUUUAAGUCUUGUAAAGCUGGUUGUUGUUGAUGUGUCUCAGCUGCUGGACUCAGUGGAGCUGCUAUCGCUGGGAUGGCCGCUGGGAUCCCCUGCGCUCUUCUCGUCCUCCUCAUUGUGCUGGCCUUCAUCUACUGCGGGAGACGUGUCUACCCUGAACCCUCAUCGUCUGCUGAGAGCCAGACUGAAACCACCACCUGAGUACAGACAUCAGCAGCCUGAGCGAUCGGCUCAUUUGCCGACUGUGAAUUCAAGCGUGAGAAUGGCCACCACCGUCUGACUCUGAGAGCUUGAGCUCACCGACAUGUAACCUUUAACCUCAUACAGGCAAUUUGUUGACAGGUUGCAGCCCAGACGCGAACUAGUGUCACCCAAAUGAGAACCACAGUUGCUCCAGCACCAUUUAAUCUGUUAUUCUGUCGAAGUGUAUUUUAAAUUCACAUAUGAGCACUGUAUCAAAAUGACAAAGUUUCUCAUUUAUUUUAAAAUAAGUACUAAUUUUAAGAAAUUAAUACUUUCAUAGCACAACUGUUUUUCAACAUUGAUAAUAAUGUAAUGUUUUUUUGAGCAGCAAUUGAGCAUUUAAGAAUGAUUUCUGAAGGAUCAUAUGACACUGAAGACUGGAGUAAUGAUACUGAAAAUUCAGCUUUGCAGCAACAAAAUAAAUUACGUAAUAGGCUAUAUUCA